GGGGAUCAGUUUAAAAAGGAAGGGAGUAUGUAGAGAUUGUAAGCAUAUCUCCACAGGCGUAUUAGUCUAAACACUGUGGUAAGAUAAGGCCAGUAUCAGAAUGAAAGCAUACAUUGCUUCUACUUAGAAUGGAAGAGCAUGGUGCCACUGAUGCUCCUGCUGCCACAAUCCCAGCUAGUACAAUGUUCACUUACAAAAGAGAAACACAAAGAAAGAAAAGGGUUCUGCUUUGAAAAGGGACUGAAUUGGCAGCACGUGAGCCAUGAUUUCAUCCCAGCAACUUCAUCGGCUACCACAGAUGCUACGUUUCCCAGAAGUUGUUUCUGCAGAGUUUUACCACAUUGAGCAAGAUGUUGCCAGGUGCAUACUUCGUUUUAUCCACCAUAUGAUCCGGAGGACAGAAGAGUUCACCUUCAUGACCAUUAGUGGAAAAUGUGUCCUAGAACACCAGCUUUCUGUCUGUAACAAAUUCAGAGUGGACUGUAUUCAGAUUUGGUUUCAUUAUGUGUGCAGAGUUAAUGCUUGUGAGGCAAAGACAACAUGAACUUGCUUUCGGGAAAUUUGCAAGUGCAGAGCUAGUCUUUCAAAUGGUUCAAAAUGUGACCUAGAUCACGACUCAAGCCACUGUUAAAAAAUAUUCUAAAAGGAAUGUAUUAUUGAUGAAUUAAAGUAAUUAAAGUAUGUGACUCCUGCC